rnacentral:misc_RNA from 1 species
GAUGAAGAACGCAGCGAAAUGCGAUACGUAGCGUGAAUUGCAGAAUUCAGUGAAUCAUCGAAUCUUUGAACGCACAUUGCACCUCUCGGUAUUCCGGGAGGUAUGCCUGUUCGAGCGUCAUUUGUACCCUCACGCUCUGCUUGGUGUUGGGUGUUUGUUCCGCCUCUGUGUGUGAACUCGCCUCAAAACAAUUGGCAGCCGGCGUACUUGUUUCGGAGCGCAGCACAUUUUGCGAUCCAGAUCAACGUACAGCGGCAUCCAAGAAGCCUUAUUUAACGCUCUUGACCUCGGAUCAGGUAGGGAUACCCGCUGAACUUAAGCAUAUCAAUAAGCGGAGGA